CUUCUGUCAUCACCUGCUAUUGCCAGCCAAUCCAAGCAGCAGAGCCUUCCAACUGACUGGCAGGUGACUGUAUUCACGUAAGUGAUCUUCGUUGAGACCAAUAGAACAACCCAUCUGAGACCACUUCAAAUUGUGAAGAACGUGAGCUAAAUAAAUGGCUGUUUCAAGCCACUAGGUUUUGGGGUUGUUACAAAGCAAUAGUUUCUGAGUCUGGAAUUCUGGAACAGCCUGAGUGGAUGGUUCUGGCUCAGGUCCUCUCAUAAGGUUAUGUAGACCAAGACUUCAGUCGUCCCAAGACUCAACCAAGGCUGAAGAAUCAGCAUCUAAGUUCACUCAAGUUCUUACUGAGACCUUUUGGAUCAACUGCAUGUCCUUCAUAAUUUUGUAGAACGCGGAAGGAGGACAUCUAAUACAAUUUUCUGUUGACAUCUCUGUCCAAUACUUAGAGAUGAAGAAAAUGAGCAUUUGAAAGAACAUGAAGCAUUUCAAAAUCUACAUGGUGGUUAAAAGAAAAGAUGGGUCCUUCAACAUUAUUGGAGAAUUCACUGAAGUAAGACAUGACAGUGCUGGGAGAAUUAAGACAUAUGCACAUCUGCUACUCAUGAUUCUUAACUGUUCAGGAAGGCAAGAGAAGUGUCUUCUUUGUGCUUCAAACCUCACCUUUAAUAAAACCUGAGAAAAUCUAUGGAUAUCCCAUAACGACAAGAGAAAGAGAAAGAGAUGAGGAAAAGGAAGAAAAUAGAAGGCAAUGUCAAAGACAAAUCAGUAAGGAGAUUGAUUUUAUUCAGGCUAUUGAAAUAGAGACAUCCAAACACCAGUGUCUAAACUGUGGAGUUUUACCCUAGACUUUUAAAGGGAGGAGUAAAGUUCAAGGUAGAGUGAUCUACACUUGGUUUUUUGUUUGCUUUUCUUUUCAAUCAAGAAAGUCUCAGUCAGUUAGCUAAAAUGGAAAUGUUUAUCCUUGUGUCUAGCUAGUUUCGCAGGGGACAAACAGUUCUAAUUUCAGCUAAUCAUUCAUGAGACAAGGAAUGGGAAGGAGGAGGGUCUAUGUCUAGUUUAGUCAGCAGGUUCAGGCAAAAGGGGAAAAAGUCUGUUUGGGACCUGUCACAGGUACACAAGGGAGUCAUCUGCAAAUCUUAGAGGGGUCAUGAGAAAGGAUAGCUGGAAGGUCUUAUCUAACUCACAUGAGUAGUUAAGGUAAACUUUUUCCAAUAACACGAAAAGGGUGAUUCUGGAUAACAAAACCUUGGGGAGAUCUCUUAACCAUCAUUGUUUUCCAGAGCUCAGGUACAGUUCACCAGU